CAAGAGGUACUUUUACGCCCAGAUGGGAUGGUAUCUAACACCUUUGUUCUGUGGCGCCACUGUGAUUGAAGAAAAAUUUAUUCUUACAGCUGCGUUAUGUGUUUAUCGUUAUAAAGCUAACGACCUUUACGUGGACAUCGGAGAUUUCACACUUCCCCACAUGCCAAAAACAAGAUACUGGAUUUCGAAAAUCUACAUCGCACCCGGAUUUGAGCCAAGCGCUAUGCCUAAAAACGAUUUGGCUAUUCUACGAACGCAUGUUCCGAUUAUGGAGUUCCAGCAACUCUACCUUCCGAUCUGUCCAUAUGAAAUUCCCCCUCGUGAGAGGUUUCAACAAGUUUUUGGAACUUGCGGAAUGGGAAAAGCCAACAGAUCUAUCAACGGACCAAUAGUGUCACCGAUUU